GGCCCCCUGGCUGAGUGGUUAAGCGCUUAGGUCUUCACGUUCGGCGCCGCCUACAUCUAUCAUCGUGUUGAACGCCCGAGAGACGCCAGGUUCAAAUCCUGGGGGGGCCC